CGAAGUGUGGCUCAGUUUGGUAGAGCGCUGCGUUCGGGACGCAGAGGUCGUGGGUUCGAAUCCCGUCACUUCGACUA
rnacentral:tRNA from 3 species